AGCGGCGGACGGCUGAGUAACACGCAGGAAUGUACCCCAAAGUGAGGGAUAGCCCACCGAAAGGUGGAUUAAUACCGCAUAUGGUCUUCGGAUUAAAGCUUCGGCGUUUUGGGAACAGCCUGCGCCCGAUUAGAUAGUUGGUGAGGUAAUGGCUCACCAAGUCGACGAUCGGUAGCUGGUUUGAGAGGAUGAUCAGCCAGACUGGAACUGAGACACGGUCCAGACUCCUGCGGGAGGCAGCAGUGAGGAAUCUUCCACAAUGGGCGAGAGCCUGAUGGAGCAACGCCGCGUGCAGGAUUAAGGUUUUCGAAUCGUAAACUGCUUUUAUUAGUGAUGAAUAUGACGGUAACUAA
rnacentral:rRNA from 1 species